rnacentral:rRNA from 1 species
GUAGUCCUAGCUGUAAACGAUGGGCACUGGGUAGAGGGGGUGUCGAUACUCUCUCUGCCGAAGCAAAUGUGUUAAGUGCCCCGCCUGGGGAGUACGGUCGCAAGGCUAAAACUCAAAGGAAUUGACGGGGGCUCACACAAGCGGUGGAGCAUGUGGUUCAAUUCGAAGCAACGCGAAGAACCUUACCCGGGUUUGAAAUCCACGGAUGGGUCUGAUGAAAGUCGGAUACUCUGCCCGCAAGGGUGAAACGUGGACAGGUGUUGCAUGGCUGUCGUCAGCUCGUGUCGUGAGAUGUCGGGUUAAGUCCCUCAACGAGCGAAACCCUUGUCUCUAGUUGCCAACGGUUCGGCCGGGGACUCUAGAGAGACUGCCGUUGUGAAAACGGAGGAAGGUGGGGAUGACGUCAAGUCAUCAUGGCCUUUAUGUCCGGGGCUACACACGUGCUACAAUGGUCGGUACAAAGGGAUGCUAAGCCGCGAGGUAGAGCAAAACUCAGAAAACCGACCCCAGUUCAGAUUGGAGGCUGCAACCCGCCUCCAUGAAGAUGGAAUCGCUAGUAAUCGCGGAUCAGCUACGCCGCGGUGAAUA